rnacentral:rRNA from 1 species
ACUCGAGUGGCGAACGGGUGAGUAACACGUGGGCGAUCUGCCCUGCACUUCGGGAUAAGCCUGGGAAACUGGGUCUAAUACCGGAUAGGAGCCAUUUUAGUGUGAUGGUUGGAAAGUUUUUUCGGUGUAGGAUGAGCUCGCGGCCUAUCAGCUUGUUGGUGGGGUAAUGGCCUACCAAGGCGGCGACGGGUAGCCGGCCUGAGAGGGUGGACGGCCACAUUGGGACUGAGAUACGGCCCAG